rnacentral:rRNA from 1 species
UAUCUCUGUAGAGUCUGCAUAUCAAUAAGCGGAGGAAAAGAAACUAACUAGGAUUCCCUUAGUAACGGCGAGUGAAGCGGGAAGAGCUCAAAUUUGAAAUCUUCAAGGUUUUACCUUGACGAAUUGUAGUUUAAAGAAGUGUUUUCUGUUGGAGUUUUGGUAAAAGUUCUUUGGAAUAGGACAUCAUAGAGGGUGAGAAUCCCGUAUUUGACCAUUAUUUCCAGCUUUGUGAUACACUUUCAAAGAGUCGGAUUGUUUGGGAAUGCAGUCCAAAAUGGGUGGUAAAUUUCAUCUAAAGCUAAAUAUUGGCGAGAGACCGAUAGCGAACAAGUACCGUGAGGGAAAGAUGAAAAGAACUUUGAAAAGAGAGUUAAACAGUACGUGAAAUUGUCAAAAGGGAAGCGUUUGACACCAGUGUUGUUUUCUCGAAAAUCAAUUAAAAAAUGACAUGAUUUUGUGUUGUAUUGACCUUUAUCAAGCUUUCUUCACUCUUUUCAUUGUCUUUUUUAAUGCACUUUUCGUUUAACAAGUCAACAUCAAUUUCUUUUGUUGUAAAAGGGUCAUUGGAAGGUGGCUUUCUUUUCGGAGAAAGUGUUUAUAGCCUUUGGCCUCUGCAAUCGGAGAGAUUGAGGUCUGCAGCGUAGAUCCUUCGGGGUUAGAUACAUUUGUGCUAAGUUAUAGCCUUUCAUAGACAACUUGUUGACUAUGAUCAGUCAUGUAGCUUACUCGCUUAUGCUAUUUUACCUACGCUUAGGAUGUUGAGUCAUCACACAUCUCU